GUGGUUUGGAGAUUACUGUCUUGAAAGAUGUUCUAUUCACUGCAAUUCUACAUGUAAUAAAACCGACGGGGCAUGUUCAUGUCUUCCAGGAUAUGUCGGACAAAAAUGUUCACAAGAAUGCCCACAAGGAAAGUAUGGUCAGAACUGCUCCGGGAUAUGUUCUCAAAAUUGUUUUAACGAAUCCAAAUGUGAUAUUACCAAUGGGGACUGUGAGUCAUGCAAACACGGUUACAAGGGAGACAAAUGUGAUAAAGAAAAAUGCCCCAUGCAUUGUCUGAAUGAGUCAUGUGACGUAUACUCUGGUAAAUGUCUGUCGUGUAAAUCUGGCUAUGGAGGAGACUUCUGUGAUACAAGUAAGUGUCACUUAUAUUUGUCAAUGUUGUAGGCAUAUAUUCAUAAAUCUAGUUCAAU
rnacentral:sRNA from 1 species